rnacentral:rRNA from 1 species
CAGUCGCCGCGGUAAUGCGUAGGUGGCAAGCGUUGUCCGGAAUUAUUGGGCGUAAAGGGCUCGCAGGCGGUUUCUUAAGUCUGAUGUGAAAGCCCCCGGCCCAACCGGGGAGGGUCAUUGGAAACUGGGAAACUUGAGUGCAGAAGAGGAGAGUGGAAUUCCACGUGUAGCGGUGAAAUGCGUAGGGAUGUGGAGGAACACCAGUGGCGAAGGCGACUCUCUGGUCUGUAACUGACGCUGAGGAGCGAAAGCGUGGGGAGCGAACAGGAUUAGAGACCCCCGUAGUCCUGUCUCUUAUACA